rnacentral:rRNA from 1 species
GAUGAACGCUAGCUACAGGCUUAACACAUGCAAGUCGAGGGGCAGCAUGAACUUAGCUUGCUAAGUUUGAUGGCGACCGGCGCACGGGUGAGUAACACGUAUCCAACCUGCCGAUGACUCGGGGAUAGCCUUUCGAAAGAAAGAUUAAUACCCGAUGGCAUAGUUCUUCCGCAUGGUAGAACUAUUAAAGAAUUUCGGUCAUCGAUGGGGAUGCGUUCCAUUAGGUUGUUGGCGGGGUAACGGCCCACCAAGCCUUCGAUGGAUAGGGGUUCUGAGAGGAAGGUCCCCCCACAUUGGAACUGAGACACGGUCCAAACUCCUACGGGAGGCAGCAGUGAGGAAUAUUGGUCAAUGGACGAGAGUCUGAACCAGCCAAGUAGCGUGAAGGAUGACUGCCCUACGGGUUGUAAACUUCUUUAUACGGGAAUAAAGUGAGGCAUGUGUGCCUUUUUGUAUUGUACCGUAUGUAAUAAGGAUCGGCUAACUCCGUGCCAGCAGCCGCGGU